rnacentral:rRNA from 1 species
UGGGGAAUUUUGGACAAUGGGCGAAAGCCUGAUCCAGCAAUGCCGCGUGUGUGAAGAAGGCCUUCGGGUUGUAAAGCACUUUUGUCCGGAAAGAAAUCCUUGGCUCUAAUACAGUCGGGGGAUGACGGUACCGGAAGAAUAAGCACCGGCUAACUACGUGCCAGCAGCCGCGGUAAUACGUAGGGUGCAAGCGUUAAUCGGAAUUACUGGGCGUAAAGCGUGCGCAGGCGGUUUGCUAAGACCGAUGUGAAAUCCCCGGGCUCAACCUGGGAACUGCAUUGGUGACUGGCAGGCUAGAGUAUGGCAGAGGGGGGUAGAAUUCCACGUGUAGCAGUGAAAUGCGUAGAGAUGUGGAGGAAUACCGAUGGCGAAGGCAGCCCCCUGGGCCAAUACUGACGCUCAUGCACGAAAGCGUGGGGAGCAAACAGGAUUAGAUACCCUGGUAGUCCACGCCCUAAACGAUGUCAACUAGUUGUUGGGGAUUCAUUUCCUUAGUAACGUAGCUAACGCGUGAGUUGACCGCCUGGGGAGUACGGUCGC